rfam:Tateyamaria sp. ANG-S1 contig_3, whole genome shotgun sequence.
GCGGGCGUGGCGGAAUUGGUAGACGCACCAGAUUUAGGUUCUGGCGCCGCAAGGUGUGGGAGUUCGAGUCUCCCCGCCCGCA